rnacentral:rRNA from 1 species
UACGUAGGGUGCAAGCGUUUAAUCGGAAUUACUGGGCGUAAAGCGUGCGCAGGCGGUGAUGUAAGACAGGUGUGAAAUCCCCGGGCUUAACCUGGGAACUGCAUUUGUGACUGCAUCGCUGGAGUGCGGCAGAGGGGGAUGGAAUUCCGCGUGUAGCAGUGAAAUGCGUAGAGAUGUGGAGGAACACCAAUGGCGAAGGCAGCCUUCUGGGCCAACACUGACGCUCAUGCACGAAAGCGUGGGGAGCAAACAGG